UUUGAAGGGCCGCAGUAUUUUGACUGUGCAAAGGUAGCAUAAUCAUUAGUCUUUUAAUUGAGGGCUAGUAUGAAUGGCUGGACGAGGUAAAUUCUGUUUUAUGUUAAUUGAAAUUGAAUUAAGAUUUUAAGUAAAAAGACUUAAAUGUUAUUAAGGGACGAGAAGACCCUAUAGAGUUUAAUAUAUGUAAUAAUUAAUUGAGUUAAAAAACUAAAUUUUUGAUUUUUAUGAAAUUUAUUUAAUUGGGGUGAUUGGAAGAUAAAAUAAACUCUUCUUUAAAUUUAAUAAUUUAAUUAGUUGUGUGAUCCAUAUUUAAUGAUUAGAAGAUUAAAUUACCUUAGGGAUAACAGCAUAAUUCUUUUUGAGAGUUCAUAUCAAAAAAGGAGAUUGUGACCUCGAUGUUGGAUUAAGAUUAGUUAUGGGUGCAGAUGUUCAAUAACUAGGUCUGUUCGACCUUGAAAAUCUUACAUG
rnacentral:rRNA from 1 species